rnacentral:ncRNA from 2 species
UAGAAGGAUUUGGGAGAGACUAUGCAGAUAGCGCCGAAGGGGAAAGUAUGGAAACUCUCAGGCAAAAGAACCAGAUCUGGACG